rnacentral:SRP_RNA from 1 species
GCUGGGCAUGGUGGCACGUGCCUGUAGUCCCAGCUACUCGGGAGGCUGAGGCUGGAGGAUCUCUUGAGUCCAGGAGUUCUGGGCUGUAGUGAGCUAUGCCGAUCAGGUGUCUGCACUAAGUUUGGCAUCAAUACGGUGACUUCCCGGGAGCGGGGGACCACCAGGUUGCCUAAGGAGGGGUGAACCGGCCCAGGUCGGAAACGGGGCGGGUCAAGACUCCCUGCUGAUCAGUAGUGGGAUCGUGUCUGUGAAUAGCCACUGCACUCCAGCCUGGGCAACAUAGCGAGACCCCCUCUCU